rnacentral:lncRNA from 1 species
UUGACUCUUUACUUUAAAGAGCCUCUGAAGUCUGACAUGUGAUUAGAUUCAUAAUUCAUCAAGUGGGUCAUGACUUCAACAUCUUUAGUGGGGUUAUUUAUCUUGGGAGAUUGACCAUCUCGAAUCGGUCCCUAUCAGCAAGCACUUCCAAAACUAAACAAAAACUUGUACCAAACAUAAUCAAAUUAAUAACAAAAAAAAGCAAAUAUGGAGAUCAGAAGUGGUUAAAGGUUGUCGGUCACGGAUAAUUCAGAAACACGGACCAAUUAAUUCCUCAUCAUUUCUCCAAAUUAACAAACAAUAAAAGUAGUAAAUUUAAACAAAUAUUUGUUCAUCAUCAGAGACUUAAAUACAGAUAAUAAUCACAAACAAAUAUCAUUUUGUUGCAGUUAUUUUUCU